UACGUAGGCAGCAAGCGUUGUUCGGAGUUACUGGGCGUAAAGGGUGCGUAGGCGGCUCUAUAAGUAUGGUGUGAAAUCUCCCGGCUUAACUGGGAGGUGCGCUAUAGACUGUGGGCUAGAGUGUGGGAGAGGAAAGUGGAAUUCCUGGUGUAGCGGUGAAAUGCGUCAGAGUAUCAGGAGGAACACCGGUGCGGAGGCGGGUCUCUGG
rnacentral:rRNA from 1 species